AUUGAACGCUGGCGGCAGGCCUAACACAUGCAAGUCGAGCGAGCGGCGGACGGGUGAGGAAUGUCUGGGAAACUGCCUGAUGGAUGGGGAUAACUACUGGAAACGGUAGCUAAUACCGCAUACCAUCAGAUGUGCCCAGAUGGGAUUAGCUGGGAGGUGGGGUAACGGCUCACCUAGGCGACGAUCCCUAGCUGGUCUGAGAGGAUGACCAGCCACACUGGGACGGAGACACGGUCCAGACUCAUACGGGAGGCAGCAGGGGGGAAUAUUGCACAAUGGGCGCAAGCCUGAUGCAGCCAUGCCGCGUGUGUGAAGAAGGCCUUCGGGUUGUAAAGCACUUUCGGCGGAGAGGCGUUACCCACAGAAGAAGCACCGGCUAACUCCGUGCCAGCAGCCGCGGUAAUAC
rnacentral:rRNA from 1 species